rnacentral:rRNA from 1 species
GACAGAGGGUGCAAACGUUGUUCGGAAUUACUGGGCGUAAAGCGCGUGUAGGCUGCUUCGAAAGUCGGAUGUGAAAGCCCUGGGCUCAACCUAGGAAGUGCAUUCGAAACUUCGAAGCUGGAGUCCUGGAGAGGAAGGCGGAAUUCUCGGUGUAGAGGUGAAAUUCGUAGAUAUCGAGAGGAACACCGGUGGCGAAGGCGGCCUUCUGGACAGUGACUGGCGCUGAGACGCGAAAGCGUGGGGAGCAAACAGG